CACUUGGAUGCAGGAGCUAAAUGCCAACAGACCACCGACACCAACCAGAGGACGUCCUCAAGUAGCCAAUGAUCGAGGUUCUGUUGCUUGGACUUAAAUUAUAGUGCAAUUGUCUUGCUAUACUUCCAGGCUCAUGCUAACAUGUCGGAUUUCCAGUGAUAUGUACAUAGCCGAUCACCAAUCAGAGUUCAAUGGAGAUACUUAUCCUCGCGAAAAGUUUAACGCUUGAGCCACGUUGUUAUUCUUCCAUGGAAGGGUCUUCAGAAAAUCAGAUUAGAUAUCGGAGGUGGCAAUUCGUGAGUUCUAUUUCAUCAUGAUACAGAGCAGAUGGGGUUUUCGAUGGAGGUGUACAUUGAGCCGCAAGCAGGUAGACGGAGUUUUGAUCAUUGUCAUGGGCGUGUAGUGCUGGGUUUUCAUUGAAUUUUUUUUUUCUUUGUUUAGUCCCUACAUAUUCUUUUCAUCGUUUAGGUGUAUCAUCAUUUUUGUCUGCGGAUUGCUGAGAUAGAUAAUCCUGAGCUGUUGUAAUUCAUGUAUCAUAGAAGUCGUUGCUUUGUGUAUCGCUGCCUUGUAAAAUAUACUACCUCCUGAACAAGAAAAUGAGAAAACAAAAAUUGUAGUGUGUUGUUUACUAUGUAAGUUGCAGAUAAGCUAUUUUAAAGAUCAG
rnacentral:misc_RNA from 1 species